AAGUAAAUAAUAAAACGCCGUGUUUUGUGUUUCUGAGUUGAACUCGCCGCCUUCGUUUUCCUUAAUCUGCAAAGUUUCUCCUCUCAUCUCUCUACCUUCCCUAUCGUUUAAUGAUUCUUUAAAUUCGGUAAUUAGUGUUGUUCACAUUAAAUUCCGUAACGAUUCCGGCCUCUUCGUUUCUUAGAUGUCAAAUCUAUAAAUAGUAGAUGGUUGAGAGUUGGAUGAACCUUAGCAAUCACUUUCAGACUAUAUUCUUAUCUUGCAAGAUUCUUCGAAAAUAUCUUCUUCCGGUACUGUUUUUGGGUCCACGCCCUCCGAUGGUAGAUUGUCCCACUUCGUUGUUCCCCGGCUUCUCUGUUUUUUGGACUCGAAAAACAUCAAGAAGCAUGGUGAAUUCAUGGGAAUCACUCAACUUCUCCUUGAUGAGAAGAUGGAAAGAUCACUGCUUUAAAGGAUUUACAAGGUCACAUAUGGAGAACAGGUUUUGAAUGUAAUGAACUGAAGUCUGUUGUUUCCUAGGAUGUACCAGGGGCUUUAGAGAAUUGGUAUUCUUCUGGAACUAAAGGUCUGUUCAUGUAAAGGUCUGUUGUCGAUUAGCGCAAAGGCUUCUCUUUGGGAACACAAACUAUGGAGAUCUGAGGAAGUAUUUAUCCAGCUUUUUUGACACCACAAUCGGGUAUAUAAAAGAUCUAUCAUUUUCAUUACAGUAGAGGAUAUGAUCCAGCUGCUUGCACAUCUUCCUAAUGCAUACUGGCAUUCGUUUUUCCUUAUUAUUUGUAUACAGUUUAAUUUAUUGAAAGGAAUCAUUCAGUGUUAAGAAAAAAAGAAUAACGUCUAAAUAGGUUGACGGUUCUAAACAAAUAAUUACUUUUUAUAAAUAUAGAAUACACUUUUACUUCAAUAUACAAAUUAAAAUAUUCUCAUUUAAUUAGUCAAAACAGAGGUAACAGAACAAAUAAAAGUAAUCUUCCUUCUGGUAAAGAAGUAUCUCUGAAUUUCCCCAUUCCUGUUUUUGUUUGGGUCGACUCAAUCUUUUAUUGGUUUUUAUUUCUAUAUUUAUAAAAAGAGGCAAUUUAAAUUGCCCAAAAUCAAAUCUUUUAGCUCUUUUUUUUGUUUACAAAACUAGAGAACACAGCCCCAUUUUAUUUAUAACUAUAGAUUUAAUUUUCUCUUAUUUUAACGGCCUAACAAAAUGUUGAACAUAAUAUUUUCUUAUUCUAAACCACUUCAAGUUCAACUAAACAACUAAAUCAUUUCACAACAUUUUCUAUAACAUUUUAAAGUAU